CAAUCUGCCCUUCACUCUGGGACAAGCCCUGGAAACGGGGUCUAAUACCGGAUAGCACUUCCACGGGCAUCUGUGGGGGUUGAAAGCUCCGGCGGUGAAGGAUGGGCCCGCGGCCUAUCAGCUUGUUGGUGAGGUAAUGGCUCACCAAGGCGACGACGGGUAGCCGGCCUGAGAGGGCGACCGGCCACACUGGGACUGAGACACGGCCCAGACUCCUACGGGAGGCAGCAGUGGGGAAUAUUGCACAAUGGGCGCAAGCCUGAUGCAGCGACGCCGCGUGAGGGAUGACGGCCUUCGGGUUGUAAACCUCUUUCAGCAGGGAAGAAGCGAAAGUGACGGUACCUGCAGAAGAAGCGCCGGCUAACUACGUGCCAGCAGCCGCGGUAAUACGUAGGGCGCAAGCGUUGUCCGGAAUUAUUGGGCGUAAAGAGCUCGUAGGCGGCUUGUCACGUCGGGUGUGAAAGCCCGGGGCUUAACCCCGGGUCUGCAUUCGAUACGGGCUAGCUAGAGUGUGGUAGGGGAGAUCGGAAUUCCUGGUGUAGCGGUGAAAUGCGCAGAUAUCAGGAGGAACACCGGUGGCGAAGGCGGAUCUCUGGGCCAUUACUGACGCUGAGGAGCGAAAGCGUGGGGAGCGAACAGGAUUAGAUACCCUGGUAGUCCACGCCGUAAACGGUGGGAACUAGGUGUUGGCGACAUUCCACGUCGUCGGUGCC
rnacentral:rRNA from 1 species